UCCCUUGUGGUGGGUGUUGGGGUAUGAGGGGACAAAGAAAGCAUUCACAAACAUGUGACCCGGGUACUUGACUUAAGAAUGUCAACAACAGAUAAGGCUUGUCAGUCAUGUUCUGCGAGAUCAGAGGGUUAUUGGGAGCCAAAACACACUUGAGGUUGAGACCUUGGUGCGAAGAUGCAGCUGACUGCAACAUUGGCGCCUCUUGACCGGCCAGGGACCUUCGACCUUUAGUGUAGAUGCUUCGCCAGACAAGCUCUGACCUGCUGUAUGCAUCCAUUUCAGUUCGCGGAGUGUCGUGCAUUGACUACACAGCAUUGCCCUCUGAAGUCAUGCUGCUGUCAAGGAGCACAUUCCAGGGCACGGCCCCUGACCAGUCCACUGGCCUUAGAAGGAAUGACCUGUUUGGCUUGAGGGGAAUGGUUUAAACAAGCUGAGGAACUUGACCCGAAGGUGGACUGCGCAGAGAAAAAUGUAGAUAUUUGUUCCAGGAGGAGGCUGUAUAAUUCACUCAAAAGGCUGCUUGUCCCUGCAUCUGCAGAACAGAUACAGAGGACACUUCUUCCAUCCAGAGCAGCGAUACAAGCCUGCGUAGGCUCUUUCGUCUUCGUCAAAGAAUGGCAUCUGUUUCACUAUCAGAACCGCCGGACGGACCGUAAUGAAUGACCAGGUUGUCUUCAAGCCCAUCUCCAUGAUUGAUGCAGUGAUGCUGUACCUGAGCAGAGCCAGAGAUCGGCUCACGGCAAUGGAAAAUCACAUGAACCCAGGUAUUUGGAGUUCUUCAAUCCUCAACACUUGAGGAAGAAUUCAAAAACACUCCUCCAUUUUCUUGCCAGAAUUAAAUGUGCUACCAUGAACCUUUAAGGGUGGUAUGCUUUUAAAAAGAAGACAGAAGGUCUUACCUCUGACCAAAUAUGGAAUGUUGUUUAUCCAUUCUUCGAGCAAAAAUUUGUAUUCAAACGCCCUAUUAGACUGUGCAAUUCAUAUCCUUUCACCCACAGACCGCAUCUGCAGAGGUGGGAGGUCCUCUGGUGAGAAUGAUGUCAUUUAUCUUCACUGUUUGUCAGGGGGAUUCCGUAUCGUCUGGUCAUUCAGUGGAGCUGGAUGGUUGCCAAGACCAGGGGCUAUUUCAGGGUCUGGAAACUGGGAAAGCCGUGACGUCAGAGCCAUGUUUUUGGAUAUCAACUCCGGAAACUGAUAAUGAUUGUACCCAUAUAGAGAUCAUACCAAUCUUACAUUUUCAUGACCAGUGGACAAAGUAUUAAUUUACUUACUCUACUAAUACUGUAAAUGCACUAUGCAUAUGAAGCAUCUGAAAACACAACAACUGAAGGAGAGGAGGUAGUCAGUUUAAGUAGUUUUAUUACAGACACAUUUUUCUGUUCUAUUUUAGAGAUUUCAUACGUGCUAAUGCCCAGACUUGAAGCUUCUAUUUAGCUUGUUAAAAAGUUAGAUUUAUUUGACAGUUUAAUGUCUUUUGAAAUAACCAGGCAAAAAACCUGGAAAUAUCAAUAUUUCUACCAAAAAAAAAACCAAACCUGUCAACAAGCGCAUAGAUUACUGCAGUUUCUCUGUGAAAGGAGAGUAUGAGAGGAGGGGUGGGGGGAAUUGAGCAUGUGGUAAAGACAUUUAAACUAUACUUUUCAAAGACAGCACAACAUUUUUUUCACAUUAAUAACAUAGCCAUGAUGACAUUGAAUCAGGUAACAGUCUGUUGUUUGUGAUGGCUUGUGAAAUGUUUGAUAUAAUAGCAGGUUCUAAUGUUCGAGAAUUCAUCAUUUCAAGAGGAGUGCCUGGCUCCUGCUGUGUACCAUUAACUUUUUUCCACGGAUUUGUGAAAUCCAGUUCCUUUUCUUGUGUAGACUUUAUGAGACUAAGCUUUAUGAGACUAUCUUGCACUGCUUUUACCUUUUUCAAUCUGUUUUGCAUUGAAGCAUAUUGUGCAUUGCUACCGGAAAUUAAAACAUUUCUCUAUGUCCUUCUUAUCUGUUUUGCAAUACCAAUGUCUGAUGAUAUCAAGUACUCUACAUAAUGCAUAAUUGUGGUUUUUACUGGCUUAUUUCUGAUGUAUUUAGACAAUAGCCAAGUGUCAGAAGCACAAGCCAUGCCUGUAUUUGCAUAAGGGAGUGUGAUAAUAGAGAGAAUUUAAUGAUUCAGGCAGAUGUGCUGCCCUCAUCCGCUACAUGGAAUGAGUGGCAUCCAUAGUGGUCCAUUCUUACCCUUCCAUUCCAUUAACAUGCUCAGUCAACACUGGCACCAUUAGAUGAAGGAAUGAAUACCUGGCUUAUCGUAACUGUUUGCCCAUGGCUUACAGGUGCUCACCAGCUUAUACUAAUAGCUGAAAGAAUGCCUGAACUCAAAUAUUUAAAUAUUUAAAUACUUGCAGGUGACAGCUUUGGUGGGAACGAAUGUGAAAAGUGAAAAGUUGUGAAGUGUAUUCCAGGAACACUAAAUUGCGAACAUUAUUUAGGUAUCAAACUCAUUAUAUUUAGAUUCUAAAGAUAGAUGCCCACUCUCCAAUGGGGAAAGAAAUGUAAAAAAGAACAUACAUGUGUAAUUGGCAGAGAAAUUACAUAUCUGUUCUGUGUGGUACUGUCUCUUUGCUCUCUGCUUGAGGAGUAUAAGAUUAGUAAUUUAUUUAUAAUUUAACAUCACUGUUUGUGAGUUUGUUGAUGUUUAUCAAAAUUGGGCCAUGUACACUUGAGAAAGCAUUUUGUGGGAGAGAAGCAAAAGACAUUUCGUAUCAAUUAAUCUGAACUGAAAAAAAAUGCUUCAUUGGAUAAACCCAAAGCUUUGCUUUGCUUUUUAAAUUUUCUCCACUGAAAAUAUGUAGGUUCAUUGAAAUUAUUAUCAUAUUAUCAUGACUGCCCUCAAUCACCCACUAUCAGAUGAUUGCUCACCCCCCCCCCCCAAAACAAACGUAAUUUGUCCUAACAUUGGAGUGUCUUGGGUGGCACAGGGCUUAAAGGCUCAUUCGGAGAAACAAUGGCCGCUUGUUAGCCCUCCUCGGGACCAAACCAGCUUGUUCCUAGGGAGACCCUGAAGCUCAAGGCAUUCCAGGCAUUCCGGGGGACAAUGCUGACAGGGCCUUACAGCAGGGAUCAAACCAGCCUCCAGAAAGCAGCUUUCGCCCUGCCAAGUCUGUUAUGUAAUUAAUGUCUUCCCGUUUGCCUGCUGUUGGGCUCUGGCUGCCUCGCCGUGAUGCCGACCAGAAGCGAGGAGACUCACCCAUAUAAGGGCAAGGCUACUGUUUCGGCGCGGAGCCGUCCUUUUCCACGGAAGCCCCGGGCAGAGACGUUGAAUCCUGAUUGUACCAGUGCUACCUGGCUGGCAGCUCUCCAGUGUGGUGCAUAAUUGGCUGUAGCAUUGCCCAGGGUUGGAAGAUUGAAGUCAGCAGGGUUCUUCUCACCUUAUUGCACAAGAGUAGCUGUCUGGAAGUAAGUAAAAGUUAAGUAAGUAAGUACAAUAAAUAAGUAAGUGAGUAAGCAAAUAAGCAAGCAAGUAAGGUAGUACAGUAAGUAAAGUAAGUAGGGUAAAUAAUGAUGACUGGCUUAUAAUGACUCAUAAGUCAGUCCUUUAACUGGCUACAGUUAGUUCUCAAACAGCAGGCUAUUCCUUUGAGUAAAUAUCGGUUUUCUGAACGUUUUCUUUGCUUUGUGCUUUUUCAUUUCAUUUCCAUGCUGCGCUGGGACUCAUAUGUGAGCCCACAGCUGACCCUAGUGGACAAAGGCCAAGCUGAAAGGACUUCAAAUAGUUAUUACUCCACUGAGGGGGAAAGGGGAUGGAAGUAGCCUCUAAGUCGCAGACCACAAUGAAGUGACUCAUUACCCCUCUGGGGUGUCUGGCUGCAACAGUAAGACAUGUUUUUGGACAGUGUCCAGCAGUGGAAAUGGUUUGCGUUCUAAGAAGAGAUUAGAAAAGCAUUGCACAUAUAUCUUGGUCGACAACUGUAUGGUGUGAUUCCACACAGUUAGGCCCCACCCACACACCUCAAUUGGUCAUAAAGAGGUUAUUCCCCCAAGGUUAAGCAAUUAAGUACCUCUGCUUGCAGAAAGCUUUCAGAAUUCACUGUAUUGUUCUCCUAACGGUAUAUUAUGAGAAGCACAUGCAUUGUCUUUUUCAAUAAAAUGAAUACUGUGCAGUGCUGGCUCUUUGUUACAUUUCAAUCGCAUUUUGGAUACAUUAGCAAAUCGUUUUCUCUGAACUGGGUGCAAAUCCCUUACUGUACAUAAUUUUCAGCUUAAACCAAAUGUGCUAUUCAAUGGCAGUGUGCUGGCUCGGAAUCAUUGGUACAUGGCUAUUAUAUACAAGCUUUCAAAUUCAUGAAAAACCCAGAGUACUCAGUAUUCUCAGUAUAUGGCAUAGGAUCAGAACUGGGUCAAAUGCGUUUAUUUUUUAGAUUCAAAUA